GAUGAACGCUGGCGGCGCGCUUAACACAUGCAAGUCGAGCGGGAACCGGGCCUUCGGGCCCGGGGACAGCGGCGAACGGGUGAGUAACACGUGGGUAAUCUGCCCUCGGUACUGGGAUAGCCCGGGGAAACCCGGAUUAAUACCGGAUAGCCCUUCGAGCCUUCGGGCUCGCAGGAAAAGGUAGCUUCGGCCUCCGACCGAGGAUGAGCCCGCGGCGGAUUAGCUUGUUGGGGGGGUAACGGCCUACCAAGGCGACGAUCCGUAGCUGGUCUGAGAGGACGAUCAGCCACACUGGGACUGAGACACGGCCCAGACUCCUACGGGAGGCAGCAGUGGGAAUCUUGCCCAAUGGGCGAAAGCCUGAGGCAGCGACGCCGCGUGCGGGAAGAAGGCCCUCGGGUUGUAAACCGCUUUCAGGAGGGACGAAGCCACUCGGGUUAAUAGCCUAGAGGGUGACGGUACCUCCAGAAGAAGCCCCGGCUAACUACGUGCCAGCAGCCGCCGUAA
rnacentral:rRNA from 1 species